rnacentral:rRNA from 1 species
AGUGAACGCUGGCGGUAGGCCUAACACAUGCAAGUCGAACGGCAGCACAGUAAGGGCUUGCUCUUACGGGUGGCGAGUGGCGGACGGGUGAGGAAUACAUCGGAAUCUACUUUUUCGCGGGGGAUAACGUAGGGAAACUUACGCUAAUACCGCAUACGACCUACGGGUGAAAGCAGGGGAUCUUCGGACCUUGCGCGAUUGAAUGAGCCGAUGUCGGAUUAGCUAGUUGGCGGGGUAAAGGCCCACCAAGGCGACGAUCCGUAGCUGGUCUGAGAGGAUGAUCAGCCACACUGGAACUGAGACACGGUCCAGACUCCUACGGGAGGCAGCAGUGGGGAAUAUUGGACAAUGGGCGCAAGCCUGAUCCAGCCAUACCGCGUGGGUGAAGAAGGCCUUCGGGUUGUAAAGCCCUUUUGUUGGGAAAGAAAAGCAGCAGGUUAAUACCCCGCUGUUCUGACGGUACCCAAAGAAUAAGCACCGGCUAACUUCGUG